rnacentral:rRNA from 1 species
AACGAACGCUGGCGGCAUGCCUAACACAUGCAAGUCGAACGAGAUCUUCGGGUCUAGUGGCGCACGGGUGCGUAACGCGUGGGAAUCUGCCCUUUGGUUCGGAAUAACAGUUAGAAACGACUGCUAAUACCGGAUGAUGACGAAAGUCCAAAGAUUUAUCGCCAGAGGAUGAGCCCGCGUAGGAUUAGCUAGUUGGUGUGGUAAAGGCGCACCAAGGCGACGAUCCUUAGCUGGUCUGAGAGGAUGACCAGCCACACUGGGACUGAGACACGGCCCAGACUCCUACGGGAGGCAGCAGUGGGGAAUAUUGGACAAUGGGCGAAAGCCUGAUCCAGCAAUGCCGCGUGAGUGAUGAAGGCCUUAGGGUUGUAAAGCUCUUUUACCCGGGAUGAUAAUGACAGUACCGGGAGAAUAAGCUCCGGCUAACUCCGUGCCAGCCGCCGCGGUAA